CGCCUCGUAUGAGGCGGUAGAACUGAGGGCCGGUGGGUGUUGUAGUAUUCGAAAGGGAUAGGAAUGAAGAGAUGAGUCAUAAAGGAGGAUGCUUGUUGUAAAACAAGAUAAGACCGCUAGAUGAUUAGACUGGAGAGUAAGGCUUGUAUCAGAUUGUACAUAUUGAGCAUGCUUAAUAGGCUAAUGCAUAUUAACUUCUCUUCCUGUAUUAUGAAGAACAUACAGGGAGAAUAUGGGAGGGGGCCACAUAUUAAGGAAUAACAUGUACAUAGGCAGAUCGGAAAGCUGUGACUCUAACUACCCUUAGCCAAUGGGGGAACAGAGAAAGUAUGGGGGAUUCGGGAGAAGGGAUAAAUGUGCUGUAGAUAUACUGUUUCGGCGGAGUCUGCCCAUGUAGGGACGACUCCCCUUUCUUUGCAAAUAAAGCUACUUAAAACUC